AGUGAACGCUGGCGGUAGGCCUAACACAUGCAAGUCGAACGGCAGCACAGUAAGAGCUUGCUCUUACGGGUGGCGAGUGGCGGACGGGUGAGGAAUACAUCGGAAUCUACUUUUUCGUGGGGGAUAACGUAGGGAAACUUACGCUAAUACCGCAUACGACCUACGGGUGAAAGCAGGGGAUCUUCGGACCUUGCGCGAUUGAAUGAGCCGAUGUCGGAUUAGCUAGUUGGCGGGGUAAAGGCCCACCAAGGCGACGAUCCGUAGCUGGUCUGGGAGGAUGAUCAGCCACACUGGAACUGAGACACGGUCCAGACUCCUACGGGAGGCAGCAGUGGGGAAUAUUGGACAAUGGGCGCAAGCCUGAUCCAGCCAUAUCGCGUGGGUGAAGAAGGCCUUCGGGUUGUAAAGCCCUUUUGUUGGGAAAGAAAAGCAGCAGGUUAAUACCCCGCUGUUCCGACGGUACCCAAAGAAUAAGCACCGGCUAACUUCGUG
rnacentral:rRNA from 1 species